AGAGUUUGAUCCUGGCUCAGGAUGAAUGCUGGCGGCGUGUCUAAGGCAUGCAAGUCGAACGGAUUUACCCAUAUAGCAAUAUAGGGGUGAGUUAGUGGCAAACGGGAGCGUAACACAUUGGUAACCUACCCCAGACUCGUGGAUAACGGUUGGAAACGACCGCUAAUACACGAUAUUGAUGAGGGGACGCAAGUCAUUCUCAUUGAAAGUUUUUCGGUCUGGGAGGGGCCUAUGGUCUAUCAGCUAGUUGGCGGGGUAACGGCCCACCAAGGCUAUGACAGAUACCAGGCGCGAGAGCGUGACCUGGCUCAUUGGAACUGAGACACUGUCCAAACACCUACGGGUGGCUGCAGUCGAGAAUAUUCCACAAUGCACGAAAGUGUGAUGGAGCGACGCCGCGUGUCAAAAGAAGGCCUUCGGGUCGUAAAUGACUUUUCUCAGGGACGAAUUUUGACGGUACCUGAGGAAUAAGGGGUUGCUAACUCUGUGCCAGCAGCAGCGGUAAUACAGAGACCCCAAGCAUUAUCCGGAUUUAUUGGGCGUAAAGCGUUCGUAGGCGGUUUCGUAAGUCAUCUGUUAAAUCUUCAUGCUUAACAUGGAGGCUGCGGGUGAUACUGUGAGACUAGAGUAUGGGAGAGGUAAGCGGAAUGCCCGGUGUAGCGGUAAAAUGCGUUAAUAUCGGGUAGAACACCAAAUGCGAAGGCAGCUUACUGGAACAUUACUGACGCUCAGUGAACGAAAGCGUGGGUAGCGAAAGGGAUUAGAUACCCUGGUAGUCC
rnacentral:rRNA from 1 species